CCCUUAGAUGUUCUGGGCCGCACGCGCGCUACACUGACGAAUGCAACGAGCUUAUAACCUUGGCCGAAAGGUCUGGGUAAUCUCCAAAUUUCGUCGUGAUGGGGAUAGAUUAUUGCAAUUAUUAAUCUUCAACGAGGAAUGCCUAGUAAGCGCAAGUCAUCAGCUUGCGUUGAUUACGUCCCUGCCCUUUGUACACACCGCCCGUCGCUCCUACCGAUUGAAUGGUCCGGUGAAGCGCUCGGACCGCGGCCUCUUGACGGUUCGCUGUCGAUUGGCUGUGGGAAGUUCGUUAAACCUUAUCAUUUAGAGGAAGGUGAAGUCGUAACA
rnacentral:rRNA from 1 species